rnacentral:rRNA from 1 species
GCAUCAUGUGAAGAAGCUACUAAGGGUGCACGGUGAAUGCCUUGGCGUAGGUUGCCGAUGAAGGACGUGGAUCACUGCGAUAAGCCUCGGGGAGUCGUGAUCAGACAUAGAUCCGGGGAUGUCCG